GUCUUUUUGUAAAUAAUAUAAAGUCUAAUCUGCCCACUGAUUUAAUUAUUAAAGGGCUGCAGUAUUUUGACUGUACAAAGGUAGCAUAAUCAUUAGUCAUUUAAUUGAUGACUUGUAUGAAAGAUUGGAUGAGAUAUAUACUGUCUCUUAAUUAUAAUAUAAAAUUUAAUUUUUUAGUUAAAAAGCUAAAAUAAAUUAAAAAGACGAGAAGACCCUAUAGAGUUUUAUAAAUUAUAUUUAUUAAGAUUAUUUAUAAAUUUAAUAAUUAAAAUAAUUUAAUUUAAUUUGUUGGGGUGACAAAAAAAUAAAAAUAACUUUUUUUUAAUUGAACAUAAAUAAGUGAAUAAUUGAUCCAAUAUUAUUGAUUAUAAGAAAAAAUUACCUUAGGGAUAACAGCGUAAUUUUUUUUUUUAGUUCAUAUAAAAAAAAGAGUUUGCGACCUCGAUGUUGGAUUAAGAUAAAAUUUAAAUGCAGAAGUUUAAAAUUUUUGAUCUGUUCGAUCAUUAAAAUCUUACAU
rnacentral:rRNA from 1 species